rnacentral:lncRNA from 1 species
CUCAAGACUAAUUCUAACAGGAGUAGGAUUCUCCAAGAUGGGCCUUCGGCCUAUCUCCGACCUUAUUGCCAAGAGGCCUAGUCCUGAUCAAACUAGGACUCCUGGUUCAAUAGAACUACGUAUGGCUUGAUCCCCUAUAAAUAUAGGGGUACGUAGGCACAUUGGGGGAUCAUGAGUUGAGAGCACGUGAGACCAACUCAAAACCCUAAUCUCAGCCACCCCCUAAAACAAACAACCACCACUCUCCGGCGACCAAAACCACCGUCACGGAUCUUGAUUCCGGCCAUGAACCUCAUCUUUGUUGAUUACCAAAUUCCUCUAUCAACAAAUUGGCGCUAGAAGGAGGGGCUAUUCAAGAUCUUCAUCUUAGGAGGAAGAGAUGUCACACGACGGAGAUUCGCACGUAGAGGAGGAGCGUUUUCCGGCAGGGCGAUGGCUAGAGCACAAAAGAGGAGGAGACCUUCAUCUACUUUUUCAGAAAAAGGACGAUAUCUCCAUCGGGAGUUUGAAGGAGGACGAUCAUCAACUAAAUUCUAGGAGGUAACCUAAUGUGCGAACAAGGUAUUCUGGACCGGGGAGUCAGCGAAGGAUGCGAUUUUCGGAGACUUGACACCUACGAAGAGGGUACGCCUCCCCCGGAGAGAGUACACCUCCCCCGGAGAGAGUACACCUCCCCUGACAGGGUACGCCUCCAGGUGAUGUGGUGUCUGACGACCACCGUGAGGAAUGCAUCCCUUGACACCUACGAAGAGGGUACGCCUCCCCCGGACAGGGUACACCUCCCCCGGAUAGAGUACACCUCCCCAGGACAGGGUACACCUCCCUCUGACAGGGUACACCUCCAAGUGAUGUGGUGCUCGACUACCACCGUGAGGAAUGAAUUCCCUGACACCUCCGAAGAAGGCGCACCUCCGGGUAAGAUUCUCACAAUGCUUUCGCAUGUUAUUGCUAACAAGUCUGUUGUGGUUUGAGUCUUUACGAGAAGGAGAUCGCCUCCCUGGAAGCCUCAACGGUUUUCUGAAGGGGCGCGCCCUCCCCAGAGCAAGUAAUUUGAGGUUCGCGAGAGGCGCAUGUUGAAGGCCUGACCACGUGUGAUGAUAUGAACGGGAAGGUUACGAAGGGCGAGCUAUUGAGAUGGAACCUAGCUCGAAAAGUCGUAAGGGUGCGCGCCUUCCCCUGACCGGGCGCGCCCUCAGGUAAAUACUAAACUCCCCCAGUAUUUGGUUCCCUAAGACUACUACAUGUGUAAAUUCACAGGUAAUAUGGUGUUACCUUUAUGAGGAAUACACCUCUUCGCCGUGAGGAGUAGUCGCACUUUCCUCCAACAAGGCGCGCCCUCCUAAAGGGGUACGCCAUAUCCAACCAGUAUUCUAUCAGAGAACGAAUUGCGCGCCUCCCUCUGACAGGGCGCGCCCUCUGGUAUGUCUGAUGCAUUAAUUGCUUCAUAUGAUACUUUGUGAAGACAAACAUACUCAGGAAGGAGCUCACUAGUCUUGAAGAGGUCACGUCCCUCCCUAGGGCGCGUCCUCUCGGAAGUACUCAUCACUUGAGGAAGCACAUGAGGGCGCGCCCCCAGGAUAAUAAUGUUGAGAAGGGAGAUGCUUCAAAGACGCGCCUCCUCCUAGUUGGACGCACCCCGAGUUCCAAGGUCAUGUUUCCAGGGUUGAUAAUUUGGGAGGACGCGUCUUCCCCUAACAGGGCGCGUCGUGAGGUAACACUGACCAUCAGUAUUAAGUCGUAUACAUGAUAAAGUGCAGGUCAAGUCUAACAUGCUAAAGGAGCUGUCCAUCUUGAUGAGGGCGCGCCCUCCGUUCUACGGGAACGUAGCAUGAUACCUGCAAGGUCUUUGAUUAAGGUACACUUAAGGCCUUUCAAAGGUUACCAAAUUAUCCAUGACUAGCUCUGGGUACUAUGAAUUUUAACCAUCCAUGAUACGCUCUGGAUGUCAUCCACGAUUUACUCUGGAUGCUAUGAUUAUUUACGUGUCCAUGAUACGCUCUGGAUACUAUAUUUGCGCAUCCAUAAUACGCUCUGGACAUUAUACUUGCGCAUCCAUGAUACGCUCUGGAUCUUACAUAUUCAUGAUAUGCUCUGGAUAACAGUUUAUACUAUUAAUUCCCCAUUGAGCUAUUAGCUCUGGGACCCGUGCGAUGCACCGGAGCUUUUUUAAACCACGAUAAGAUUCGUGAUGCCUCGUAUGGGAUGAUGUAUGGACUGGGGAGUGGUCCUUUUGAAUUUCUUAAGCAAGUGAUUCACGCGUGAAAAAGUAAAGCUGCGCCAAAGGCCGCGCCCUCUACUUAAUCCUUGGAAAAGAUCAAAAGAGCCUUACAAGUAAGGCUGCGCCCUCUGCUUAUACAGUCCUUGAAAGAAAAGAAAUAUUGCAAGGCAGCGCCAUCAGCCGCGCCCUCUGCUUAGGCAAUUCUUUAACAAAAAGAAUUAAAAGGGGUCAUGUUAUAACUAGGCGGCGCCAUUCUGUAAGUCGCGCCUUAUAUUUACUAUUCCCAGAUACCAUGGACACAGUAAGGCUGAAAAAAAAGCCACAAACCUUCGCACAGCGAAGGCGCGCCCUUCUUUUGUUGAAGUUCAUUGGCGCGAAUGUUAUGGUUGAAUGUGUCCUUUGGAAGGAAUAAGCGAAGCUGCGCCACUGUCAACGACAGAUAGGCCGCGCCCCCUGUUUUCUUUUGUCUACAUAAAGAUUGCUUAUUAUUUAUGAACACAUCAAGAAGACGCGACAGCCUCAUGCUUAGCAACUUUGCUAAAUGAUCAAAGACACCGACAUUAUAUACAUGCAAGGCUUGUGCACAGCCUGCAUCUUGGAAUGUCGAGGAAUAGAAGUGGCUUACGUCACGCCUCUAUGCGCGGACGCGCUCUCGGAAGAGGAUGUGUGGUAUGGAGUAAAAAUUUCCCUGAUAUCUCCAAUAUCAAGAAAAUUUGGGGAGUACUUGUUAUAGCCAAAUUUGGCUAGGUCCUUGUUGGGCCAAGUAUGUACUUAGUUUAACUAAGUAAGACAUGAAUUGGGCUAAGAGUCCUAUAUAAAGGAAGGACGCGUCCUCCUGCUUAUAAAGGGAGGACGCGACCGACCCUUGAAGAGACUAGUCUGAACGGAAGGGCGCAGCCCUCCGUGACGCGACUGAUCCGCCGAUGUUGCGUAUCUUAAUGAAGAGGACGCGUCCUCCGCGUCGGAAGGAGGGAUGUGUCCUCCAGGUCACACGUGUCCCAUGAAGAGGACGCGUCCUCCUGCUUAUAAGGGGAGGAUGCGAUCGACCCUUGGUGUUGCGUGAAGAGGAGGCGUCCUCCUGCUUAUAAAGGGAGGACGCGACCGACCCUUGGUGUUGCUUGAAAAGGACGCGUCCUCCGAGUCACAAGGAGGGACGCCUUACUUGAGAGUGUUGAUGGAGAGACGCGACCGACCUCCGUCCACCCACGUCCUGUAAUAUGUGGAGGAGGGCACGCCCUCUUCGGAGGUGACCGAGGGGCGCGUCCCUUGUAAGAAGUUGACAAUGAGAUGAAGACCAAGGGCGUGCCUUUAACGGGGUGUCCUCGCCUCCCCGGGGGCGCGACCUCAUGUUAAAGAAGGACCUGUCUGAUGUGUUGUAAGAAGGCUCUUCUUAUGGGAGAGUGUACAUUCGCUGAGACAACCCUUCCGAGGGAGACGAAGACCGUCCCUCCGGGGAUAGGAAGACCUACCCCUCCGGGGGGAUAUGACGACCCCUCCGGGGGAUACGACGACUCUUCCGAGGUGUUGUAGCCGUUUUUGUAUAUCAUGUGGAGGGGAGGACGCGCCCUCCCCAGACAUGGCCCGGGAGGUGCGGUCUCUUGUCCAGUAAGGAGGAUUGAAGACAAGAUAAGGGAAGGACGCGCCCUCCCCAGACAUGGCCCGGGAGGUGCGGUCUCUUGUCCAGUAAACAGGGAUGAAGACGGGAAUUGGGAAGGACACGUCCUCCCUAUCAGGGCGCGUCCUUUGACUCAGAAGAGGCAUAGUUAUGAAAUACAUGAUGAAAGAGAGAGGAUGAGUGAGUCUCCGUGACGACCCUUCCGAGGGAUAUGAAGACUAGUUACCAAGCUCAUUUGGUAGUUAUCAGGCUCAUCUGAUAGUUCCCGGGCUCAUCCGGGCAUGAUCUACAAUCCUCAAUCCUGCUAUCUGCCGAGUUAACCCUCGUGUGGGGGCUUGAGGUGAUCAUGGCUCUUGAAGGCCCUCCGGGGUAACACGAAGGCCGAUCAUAUGUCUGGAUCCUGUAUUCUGGUGAGUUAGCCCUCAUCGGGGGAUUGAGACGAUCGUGUAAUUCGGCUCCUUGUCUACCUUGUUUGAAGAUGAAGACCUCACCGAGAGGUGAGGACGUGUCCCUGCACCUCGAGGGGUUAGUCAUGGCUCCCCCAGAUAACUUCUCCAUAAGAGUCGUGGUAGAUGCUAUCUCUCGUAGUGGAGAUAUCGUUGAAUCCGUGAUCUAUUUGGAUUAGGAGUCUGAGGUAGUCAUACUCAAGACUAAUUCUAACAGGAGUAGGAUUCUCCAAGAUGGGCCUUCGGCCUAUCUCCGACCUUAUCGCCAAGAGGCCUAGUCCUGAUCAAACUAGGACUCCUGGUUCCAUAGAACUACGUACGGCUUGAUCCCCUAUAAAUAUAGGGGUACGUAGGCACAUUGGGGGAUCAUGAGUUGAGAGCACGUGAGACCAACUCAAAACCCUAAUCUCAGCCACCCCCUAAAACA